rnacentral:tRNA from 2 species
GGGGCCGUAGCUCAGAUGGGAGAGCGCCAGAAUCGCACUCUGGAGGUCACGGGUUCGAAUCCCGUCGGCUCCA